rnacentral:pre_miRNA from 1 species
AAAAAGACAAACCCUGAUUUCCGUGUCCAAUAUUUAACCGUCCGUCUUAUUUGAAAAAAUUAUGAAAAAAAAUAAAAAGACAAGUUACGUAUAAAAUAUUAAUCAUGUUUUAUCAUCUAACAACAAUAAAAAUACGAAUUAUAAAAAAAUUUCAUAUAAGACGGAUAGUCAAAGUUAGACACGGAAAACUAGAGUUUACUUUUUU